rnacentral:rRNA from 1 species
UACAGAGGGUGCGAGCGUUGUCCGGAAUCACUGGGCGUAAAGGGCGCGUAGGUGGCGCUCCAAGUCCGUGGUGAAAGCUCGAUGCUCAACAUCGAGUCGGCCACGGAGACUGGAGGGCUCGAGCACUGUAGGGGCAGAUGGAAUUCCGGGUGUAGCGGUGGAAUGCGUAGAGAUCCGGAAGAACACCGGUGGCGAAGGCGGCCUGCUGGGCAGUUGCUGACACUGAGGCGCGACAGCGUGGGGAGCAAACAGG